UAUGUUUCCUCUUACCUCACGUUCUGAGCAACUCUUCCUUCAAAGGUCAGAGCUUCAUCCAAGAGUUGGGUCUUUAGAGGGAUGAUUGGUUGAUAAAGGUUAGAAUUUGUAGAAUGUGGGAUUCUUUUAAUCCCAAGAAAAAUGGAGAGUUAAUUGGCUUGGAUAUGAUAUUUAUUGACGAAAAGAUGUGGUGGGUUGUUUGUGCGGAGUUGGAGAUAUGGAGACUGCUGGAUCGAGGUGGGAAAAAAGGAACAUUUAAAUUGUUACUGAUUAGUGAGUUGCUUUUCAUUUUAUGUUCCUUUAAUUUGUAAAUCCACCAAAACUUUCAUUUCCUAUUAUGUUUCAAUGCCUUUUCCUCAAUCCAUCUUUCUGUUGUAGUUCUGUCAAUGCAAAAAUUACUUUAUGGGAAGAAUUUGGUGAGAAAUUCGAUCCUUAUUUGUACAAAAAGGAUUCUGGCCCGUA